GAUGAAGAACGCAGCGAAAUGCGAUAAGUAAUGUGAAUUGCAGAAUUCAGUGAAUCAUCGAAUCUUUGAACGCACAUUGCGCCCCCUGGUAUUCCGGGGGGCAUGCCUGUCCGAGCGUCAUUACAACCCUCAAGCUCAGCUUGGUGUUGGGCCCCGCCGCCCCGGCGGGCCCUAAAGUCAGUGGCGGUGCCGUCCGGCUCCGAGCGUAGUAAUUCUUCUCGCUCUGGAGGCCCGGUCGUGUGCUCGCCAGCAACCCCCAAUUUUUUUCAGGUUGACCUCGGAUCAGGUAGGGAUACCCGCUGAACUUAAGCAUAUCAAUAACGGAGGA
rnacentral:misc_RNA from 1 species